rfam:Capsicum annuum cultivar Zunla-1 unplaced genomic scaffold scaffold2697, whole genome shotgun sequence
CAUGGAACCAAGGCACCGUGGCACCAUGGCACCGAGGCUCCAUAGCACCGUAGCACCGUGCAUAACUCAGACUAGGAACGGUUCCUUCGGGGGCCUUCCCCGCGCGUCGAACAUCCAACUCAGAACUGGUACAGACAAGGAGAAUCCGAAUGUUUAAUCAAACAAAGCAUUGCGAUGGUCCUAACGGAUGUUCACGCAUUGUGAUUUCUGCUCAGUGCUCUUAAUGUCAAAGUGAAUAAAUUUAACUAAGCGCGGGUAAACGGCGGGAGUAACUAUGACUCUCUUAAGGUAGCCAAAUUCCUCAUAAUCUAAUUAGUGAAGCGCAUGAACGGAUUAAAGAGAUUCCCACUAUCCCUG